GCCCCUCUCUGCGUGGUCACAGCGGACCUUGAUUUAAUGUCCAUACAAUUAAGGCACGCGGUGAAUGCCAAGAGAGGAGCC
rnacentral:pre_miRNA from 1 species